UGGGGAAUAUUGGACAAUGGGGGCAACCCUGAUCCAGCAAUGCCGCGUGAGUGAUGAAGGCCUUCGGGUUGUAAAGCUCUUUCGCACGCGACGAUGAUGACGGUAGCGUGAGAAGAAGCCCCGGCUAACUUCGUGCCAGCAGCCGCGGUAAUACGAAGGGGGCGAGCGUUGUUCGGAUUUACUGGGCGUAAAGGGCGCGUAGGCGGCGAUGUAAGUCAGGCGUGAAAGCCCCGGGCUCAACCUGGGAAUUGCGCUUGGGACUACAUUGCUGGAGUUCGGGAGAGGAGCGUGGAAUUCCCAGUGUAGAGGUGAAAUUCGUAGAUAUUGGGAAGAACACCGGUGGCGAAGGCGGCGCUCUGGACCGAUACUGACGCUGAGGCGCGAAAGCGUGGGGAGCAAACAGGAUUAGAUACCCUGGUAGUCCACGCUGUAAACGAUGUGUGCCAGACGUUGGGGGGCCUAGCUCCCCGGUGUCGCCGCUAACGCUUUAAGCACACCGCCUGGGGAGUACGGCCGCAAGG
rnacentral:rRNA from 1 species